UACGAAGGGGGCUAGCGUUGCUCGGAAUCAUUGGGCGUAAAGGGUGCGUAGGCGGGUUAUUAAGUCAGAGGUGAAAUCCUGGAGCUCAACUCCAGAACUGCCUUUGAUACUGAUAGUCUUGAGUAUGGGAGAGGUGAGUGGAACUGCGAGUGUAGAGGUGAAAUUCGUAGAUAUUCGCAAGAACACCAGUGGCGAAGGCGGCUCACUGGCCCAUUACUGACGCUGAGGCACGAAAGCGUGGGGAGCAAACAGG
rnacentral:rRNA from 1 species